rnacentral:rRNA from 1 species
GAUGAACGCUAGCGACAGGCCUAACACAUGCAAGUCGAGGGCAGCACAUGAGUAGCAAUACGAUGGUGGCGACCGGCGCACGGGUGAGUAACACGUAUGCAACCUGCCUGUAAGAGGGGAAUAACCCGGAGAAAUUCGGACUAAUACCGCAUAAUACCACGAGACUGCAUGGUUUUGUGGUUAAACAUUUAUGGCUUACAGAUGGGCAUGCGUAUGAUUAGAUAGUUGGUAGGGUAACGGCCUACCAAGUCUACGAUCAUUAGGGGUUCUGAGAGGAAGGUCCCCCACACUGGUACUGAGACACGGACCAGACUCCUACGGGAGGCAGCAGUGAGGAAUAUUGGUCAAUGGGCGAGAGCCUGAACCAGCCAAGUCGCGUGAAGGAAGAAGGUUCUAUGGAUUGUAAACUUCUUUUGCAGGGGAAUAAAGGACGGUACGUGUACUGUUUUGUAUGUACCUUGCGAAUAAGGAUCGGCUAACUCCGUG